rnacentral:rRNA from 1 species
AUUGAACGCUGGCGGCAUGCCUUACACAUGCAAGUCGAACGGUAACGGGCCUUCGGGUGCCGACGAGUGGCGAACGGGUGAGUAAUACAUCGGAACGUGCCCGAUCGUGGGGGAUAACGAGGCGAAAUCUUUGCUAAUACCGCAUACGAUCUACGGAUGAAAGCAGGGGACCGCAAGGCCUUGCGCGGACGGAGCGGCCGAUGGCAGAUUAGGUAGUUGGUGGGAUAAAAGCUUACCAAGCCGACGAUCUGUAGCUGGUCUGAGAGGAUGAUCAGCCACACUGGGACUGAGACACGGCCCAGACUCCUACGGGAGGCAGCAGUGGGGAAUUUUGGACAAUGGGCGCAAGCCUGAUCCAGCCAUGCCGCGUGCAGGAUGAAGGCCUUCGGGUUGUAAACUGCUUUUGUACGGAACGAAAAGCCUUCUUUUAAUACAGGAGGGUCAUGACGGUACCGUAAGAAUAAGCACCGGCUAACUACGUG